rnacentral:lncRNA from 1 species
UGUCUGUCCUAACCUGAGAACGUGGGUCGUCAGUUUUGUUAGCUGAAUAAGGAAAGUCUUCUCUGCAGUAGUCAAAGUAACUGAAACUCUUUCUUAGUUUUGGAUACAACCAAACUGCAUCAAGACAGACUGCUUGAAGACAAAAGGUUAUCAACUCCAACGGCUCCUUUUGCAACGACUCUUUUCUAGUGGUAUAUAUACUAGAAG